AGAAAAGAUUGGAUCAUGGGGCGAACUCCCUCAACCUUGGCUUCUGACAGGGGGUACUGUUUAAGGUAGAUAGGAGUUACAUCUGGUUUUAGUUUGGCUUUGUAAGGGGUGCAGUUGACAAAUCCUACAUCUAACUUAGAUGAAGCCCACACAGAGGAAGGAACAUCAGACAAAUCAAUAGUUUCAGAACACAACAUAGACACAUCAAUACCACCAGAGGGCGUGCAAAUAAUGGUAGCUCCCAGAAUACCAAGAAGAUCCCUUCCCAGCAAACUAACAGGACAUUUAG